ACCCAGGCACACAGCUUCUACGGGAGGCGCAGCUAACGAAUUCUUCCGCAUGGAAGAAGUACGUAUCGAGAGCAACGGCCCGUAAUGAGUAAAGUUAUCGUUUUCGUAAAGCUUCACGUUGAUAGGGAACGAACCAAGUACCGCUUCGAAUAGGCGUUACCUCGACCGAUCCCUAUCAGGAAAAGCCACGGCGUAGCUAGCGGUCAAGCAGCCGCCGUAAUACGGUAAGUUGCAAGCAGUUAUCGCGUAACUAUUGGGCGUGAGGGCUCGCAGGCAGUUGUAUUAAGAUGUGAUGUGAAAGCGCCCCGGCUCGAACGGGGAGGUCAUUGGAAACUGGGGAAACUUGGGUUCAGAAGAGGAGAGUGGAAUUCCACGUGUAGCGGUGAAAUGCGUAGAGAUGUGGAGGAACACCAGUGGCGAAGACGACUCUCUGGUCUGUAACUGACGCUGAGGAGCGAAAGCGUGGGGAGCGAACAGGAUUAGAUACCCUGGUAGUCCACGCCGUAAACGAUGAGUGCUAAGUGUUAGGGGGUUUCCGCCCCUUAGUGCUGCAGCUAACGCAUUAAGCACUCCGCCUGGGGAGUACGGUCGCAAGACUGAAACUCAAAGGAAUUGACGGGGGCCCGCACAAGCGGUGGAGCAUGUGGUUUAAUUCGAAGCAACGCGAAGAACCUUACCAGGUCUUGACAUCCUCUGACAAUCCUAGAGAUAGGACGUCCCCUUCGGGGGCAGAGUGACAGGUGGUGCAUGGUUGUCGUCAGCUCGUGUCGUGAGAUGUUGGGUUAAGUCCCGCAACGAGCGCAACCCUUGAUCUUAGUUGCCAGCAUUCAGUUGGGCACUCUAAGGUGACUGCCGGUGACAAACCGGAGGAAGGUGGGGAUGACGUCAAAUCAUCAUGCCCCUUAUGACCUGGGCUACACACGUGCUACAAUGGACAGAACAAAGGGCAGCGAAACCGCGAGGUUAAGCCAAUCCCACAAAUCUGUUCUCAGUUCGGAUCGCAGUCUGCAACUCGACUGCGUGAAGCUGGAAUCGCUAGUAAUCGCGGAUCAGCAUGCCGCGGUGAAUACGUUCCCGGGCCUUGUACACACCGCCCGUCACACCACGAGAGUUUGUAACACCCGAAGUCGGUGAGGUAACCUUUUAGGAGCCAGCCGCCGAAGGUGACCGGAGGUUG
rnacentral:rRNA from 1 species